rnacentral:lncRNA from 1 species
UCAGUGGUUGUCGUUGUUGGUGGUGGUUUCUACUCGUCGUCGUUGCUGCUCGUCGUUGCUGCUCGUCGUCGUUGCUGCUCGUCGUUUCUGCUCGUCGUCGUUGCUGCUCGUCGUCGAACGAAAUUUGCCUGCCAAACGAACGAAAUCUGCUGCCAAACAACUGAGCUCGAAGACGAAACAGAGAAGAACACGAAGCUGCUGCCAAACGAAUGAGAACGAAAACGAAACAGAGAAGUCGCGCCUUGUUUAAACAUUCAGGGGCAAAAGCGUCA